GCCCCCAUAGCUCAACUGGCAGAGCAGGAAGCUCUUAACUUCAAGGUUUUGGGUUCAAAUCCCAAUGGGGGCACCA
rnacentral:tRNA from 1 species